UACAGGGGGUGCAAACGUUGCUCGGAAUCAUUGGGCGUAAAGCGCGUGUAGGCGGUUUGGUAAGUCGGAUGUGAAAGCCCUGGGCUCAACCCAGGAAGUGCAUUCGAUACUGUCAAGCUAGAGUAUCGGAGAGGUUGGUGGAAUUCUCGGUGUAGAGGUGAAAUUCGUAGAUAUCGAGAGGAACACCGGUGGCGAAGGCGGCCAACUGGACGAAUACUGACGCUGAGACUCGAAAGCGUGGGUAGCAAACAGG
rnacentral:rRNA from 1 species